UACGGAGGGUGCAAGCGUUAAUCGGAAUUACUGGGCGUAAAGCGUGCGCAGGCGGUUUGUUAAGUCCGUUGUGAAAGCCCCGAGCUCAACUUGGGAAUUGCAGUGGAUACUGGCAGGCUGGAGUACGGUAGAGGAAGGUGGAAUUCCCGGUGUAGCAGUGAAAUGCGUAGAUAUCGGGAGGAACACCAGUGGCGAAGGCGGCCUUCUGGACCAGUACUGACGCUGAGGCACGAAAGCGUGGGGAGCAAACAGG
rnacentral:rRNA from 1 species